UGCCGGAUGGUGUAAUGGUAGCACAAGCGGCUCUGGACCGCUUAGUCUAGGUUCAAAUCCUAGUCCGGCAG
rnacentral:tRNA from 1 species